CCUACGGGUGGCAGCAGUGGGGAAUAUUGGGCAAUGGGCGCAAGCCUGACCCAGCAACGCCGCGUGAAGGAAGAAGGCUUUCGGGUUGUAAACUUCUUUUAUUGGGGAAGAGCAGCAGACUGUAUCCCUUGUAUACACCACGGCUCACUACGCGCCAGUACCCGCUGUAACCCGUGGGGGGCACGCGUUACGCGGAUGCACUGGGUGUAAAGCGCGUGGAGCCGGGGUAACAAGUCAGAUGUGAAAUCCUAGGGCUCAACUCUAGAACUGCAUUUGAAACUGUUACUCUAGAGUGUGGGAGAGGUAGGCGGAAUUCGUGGUGUAGCGGUAAAAUGCGUAGAGAUAAAGAAGAACACCCAUUGCGAAGGCGAAUUGCUAGAACAUAACUGACGGUGAGGCGCGAAAGCGUGGGGAGCAAACAGGAUUAGAUACCCUGGUAGUC
rnacentral:rRNA from 1 species